rnacentral:sRNA from 1 species
AUGUCAUCUUCAAGAGGUGGGUCAUUGUUAGCUGCAGUAGUCCUAUUUGGGGCUGGAUCCUCGUGUGUAGAUGGCCCAUCAUCUCCCUCAGAGGGCCUAUGUGGGGCUGGAUCAUCAUGUGUAGAUGACCCAUCAUCUAUAUUUUCAAAUAUAUCAUCAUCAAAAUCUGGCCCCUCAAACCCUUCCUCCAACCAAUCAAAAUCUUCUCCACCACCUCCUUCAGCAUCCACAUUACCUCCCUCAUGCAGCACAGUAACAUCAUCAAAAUCAUUUCUAACCCACCUCAUGCACAUCAUCAUCAUUUGCUACUUCCUCAUUACCAAAUGGUUGUUCAACUACAAGUGGCUCCUCACCACCAUCAACAUAUAGUGUUAUCUUAUAUGUAGGCCAUGCAGCAUGAAUCUCACACAUAUAAACUACAUCAUCAUCUCCAUUUAUAAGCUUUAGCCCUUGCUCUAAAUUACCUCUAAGAAUAAGAUAAUGAUGUCUACUUGUUCUAAUUGCCCCCACAUCAGAACAAAUAUCUUGUAUUUCAAAAUAACUAAGUUUAUCUGGGUCAACAUUAUCAACAAAAGAAGUACUACCUCCUAAAUAUACCAAAUCUGGGUUCCACACAAACUGGCCACCAUGAUGAAUCUCAAAAUUGAAUGUCAAGUCAGCUAUCUGCAUAUAAAGUACAACAAAAUCAAGUAUGAGUGUAGGAGAUGAGUGUGGUUAGCAUCUAAUCAAUAAUUUCUUAUGUAUUUGGUCUGGGAGAUGAGUGUAGUUAUCAUACCUUCCUUUGAUUUAGCUCAUUACAACAGCAGUAGCAAGGUUUCCAUUUAUAUCAGACACGGUAUAAGAAAAAGAAUCAUUCUUUGUAGGAGUGAACCAUGACCUGGCUGACCAAAUAUAACAUACAAAAGUAGAUCAGCUUUCCAAAAAAUUUCACUUAUAAUAUAUAUAUAUAUGCUUAAUUAUUAUAUUCAACUAUCACAUAACUCAUAGCAUUGAUGCCAUCAUACACGUCAACUAUCAACAUACAGGAUUCAUCAUCACACAUUUGUCUGCACUAUGCACAAAGCCCUCUUAGAAUAAUAAGUUCCAUAUCCAGUCAGAGGAUUUUGCUUUUUUAUAAUGCAACUGAAGUAUUAACUAUGCCACUAUAAAGUGAUCAAAAGAUUCUGCCUGUCUGCUAAAUUUUCAAGUCUUAAUCACAAAAACAAAAACAAUUUAAAGAACCAAAACCAAUUAUAUAUAAAGAACUAAAAUCAAUCAUAUCUCUGAUUUCAGUAACUGUGAUUUGAGAAUAUGGAAUCAAUCACAGGGUGGUACCAUAGUCACUAUUUACUGCUUUUGGCUCAAUCAUGGUCCACGGUACAAAUCUCUUGCACAAUCUUCCUUUCAACAUUGUUGUCAUGAAUAUUGUAUGUGUAGUUGACUAGCUAUGUUAGAACUAUCUAUUAUUUCGGUUUUCUACUCAUAUAUUAACUAAAACAUCCACCAAUUACAUGAAGUGCUAACACUGGCAGUGUGGCAUUAUACUUCUUCAUAGAAAGGGAAUCAAAUAUCUAACUAGAAUUGAAGAGAAAAAGGAAGAAUAAGGGGAAUAAGGCUGCAGAGUUGUUUUCCAAAGAGAGAAGAAAGCAUCAUGUAAUGUCUUAAAGGCUUAAUUCAAAAGGCUCAUGCUAGAAAGUGUGAAACACAAAUGAUGAUAUUCAUUUACAUAGAUUUUCACUUACAUGUCAACUUGGUGUGGGCCUAAAGCCAAAUCUAGAACCUACAAUACUAAGGAUAACUCAACAAUAGCCUCAGAUUCUUUUGGCCCUCUCCUAUCCAAUUCAACCCUAAGACCCUUGCAUUAAAAUGCACCUUGCCUGCAAUACGAUCAGAAAAUCAAUAAUAAGAACACCACUUUUGAUGACAAGGCAUUGACAUAAUUUAACAAAAAUGUCAAAGCUAUAUACAAUUUCCAAUAAAAUAAGAUGACUAAAUUAAAAACCCAAUUUGGAAGAAAGAAUUAAAAAGCCCAAUUUCAAACCCUAGGUUUCAAAAAUUAAAAAGUAAAAAGGGUUUUGAUCUACCUGCCUGAACAGAGGAGCAUGCACCAAUCAAGACCCAAGAUCCAAGAGCUUGCAUGAUCAAAACCCACGGUCAAAACCUAGGAGCAUGCACCAAUCGAAGCCCAUUGUAAGAUCUGACACAGCUGAACAGAGGAGGAGCAACAAUGACUUUCCUCCUCAACUUGGAUCUGCCACGGUUGUCUCAAGCAAAGCCCAAUGUCGGAGUGAGUGAUUUUUGAGAGUUUUGGGAGUGAGAGUGAGUUCUACGAGUGAGAGUUAGUUUUAAUCCAUUUUGGAAUGUUUUUUUUUUACUUAUUUGGUGUUAGAGUAACGGAAAACACUGAGGUGGGUUACGAAGCACUCACGGUUUGAAACAUAGGUGGACAAAGUGUCAAAAUUCAAACCACGGGUAGGCACAUAGAAUUUAGAGACAAACCACAGAUGGACAAAGUGUAAUUAUCCCUAUAUAUAUAUAUAUAUAUAUUUUUUUUUUUUUUUAUUGAGAAACAGGAAGCACCAAGUUGAUUCAGGUAAGUUUCAAAGAAUUUUGAGUCAGACAAGAAAAAUUUAAUGACUGAAUACUAUAUAGUUUCAACUUUAACAUUUCUAUAUUUCGUAAUUUUUGGUUGCAGGAUUUGUUGCCAACAACUCGGACUAUGUUAGUAUAGUAAGGGAAGAAAGAAGUGAAUCACUAGUAGAGUACUCUGUUUUCCCACCAGCCAACUCAAAGUCCGGCAGUUUUAGUUUGAUAAGGAAUGGAACAAAUCCAAACUCCCUAAUUUCCAUUCCAUCAAUCUUUCCAGCCAUUAAUACAGAUAGUGAAAAUGAUGGUAGUUCAGAAUCCAACGAAACAUCUCCAAGAUUCUCUCAUAAUUCCAAUUCCAUAGUGUCAUUAUUCCCACCAGCCAGGUCUGCUACAGACAGUCCUGAAAAUUAUGAGAUAAUAAUUACAAAUCCUUCCAUUACCAUAACAACAAGUUUUUCCAUUCCAUUAAUAUUCCCACCCACCAUUUCUAAGACUGAGACCAACGAUAGCUGUUCAGAGUCUAACCAAUCACCUCGUACACAAUUCUCUUUUUCGUCACUAUUCCCACCAGCUAGGUCUGAAACAGACAGUAGUAGCUCCAAAAAUGAUGAAAUAAUACUUGGUCAGAUCUUGCCCACCCCAAAGUUGACGAUCUUUAGUUUUACAGAAUUAAAGGUUGCAACCAAGAAUUUUAGUCGUGAUACAGUAAUUGGUGAGGGAGCAUUUGGGCGGGUUUUUAAGGGUUGGCUUAAGGAUAAAGGGCAAUCCAUGAGUGGAAAAACCAAGAAUUUUAGACCUGAUACAAUACUUGGUGAAGGAGGAUUUGGGCAGGUCUUUAAGGGUUGGCUCAAGGAUAAGGGGCAAUCCAAGAGUGGAAAUAGGAUGGUAAUUGCUGUCAAAGAAACGAGCCCCGAGAGCAGGCAUGGAUUUAAGGAGUGGCAGGUAAUUCUACCCAACUUGCUAGGGAAGUAUAUAUAGUUGUGAAGUUCAUGUGUUUUGAAUUCUUUUAGGCCUCUCAGUUGCACUUUUACUAUGCUUCUUGUAAAUCCAAUUAGGCCUCUCAGUUGCACUUUUAUUGUGCUUGUUGUUGCUAUAUUCAUCAUUGCUUGUUUCUUUUUAAUGUACCCUUCUCCACUUCUAGAAAAAGAUCAUGCGAAAGGUAAUUGGACAGGAAAGGUAGUUGCAAAUAGUAUAAACCACUUUCAAUUGUAGUCAUGUAAGAUCUUAUUGGCAACUUCUCUUUCUUGUUUGGGUUAAUUACAACUGUCCACCCAAAACUAUAAGCUCAUUGCAAUGUUUGUCAUCAUUUUUUAUUUUUCUUGUAAUCAACACCCUGAUUCGAGGUCAAUUUGUAAUGUUUACUAUGCUAUUUAAAAUUAGUAUCAAACUUAGAAAAUUAGUCGGUUGAUUAGGUGGUGGGAUGCUCUAAUGUGUUAGUUUUCAUUAACUUGCAAUGUCCACCCUAACCAACUCACUAAUUUGUUAGAUUUUUAACACUAAUUUGGAUGGUUGGGUAAACAUUGCUAAUUAACCAUUUGAUAUAUUUUAUGAUGAUAACUAGAAUGAACCCUUUGAUAUAUUAUAUCCAUAAGAAACCUUUGGAUAUGUUAUUUUGCUGUGUCUUAAAUACUGUAAAUAAUUUGAGAGAAAAAAGAGAGAGAGGAAACAAUGUAUUCAGUUGUGAUUUGGUUUACUUUGGCUGAACUGCAGCUUCCUCAUUGGUAUUAAGUCUCGGGUACACAAUACUAUUCUGGUUUAGAAUACACGCACACACACAUGCAUUAUUUGGAGUUUGGUUAGAUGUUUCAGUAAUUUUCUUUUUAACAUACAUUCAAACCAUUUUAAAUAUGUAUGCUUAUCUCGAUGCUAAUUUAUUGGUGCAGUCAGAGGUGUAUUUCUUAGGAAGGUUCUCUCAUCCUAACCUAAUCAAGCUGUUAGGCUACUGCUGGGAGGACGGAGAGUUACUCCUCAUUUAUGAAUUCAUGCAAAAAGGCAGCCUAGCAAACCAUCUGUUUGGAAGUAAGAGCUUAAAAUAUAAUUGAAUUCUAUUAUUGUCCAUAUGUGCAGGGAAUGUGCUAUGAAUGUGAAUAUGUGAUUCAAAUAUAAAAGUACAUUUGGUUCACACUUCUUUUAUUUAUGCAGGGGGGCUCAGGUAUUCGGCCACUUCCAUGGGAUAUACGGCUUAAGAUUGCGAUUGGAGCAGCUCGGGGCCUAGCAUUUUUGCACACAUCUGAUAAGCAAGUUAUUCAUAGAGGUUUUAAAUCCUCCAAUAUACUGCUGGAUGGGGUAAAUUUCUAUUGAAAAGUGAAUAACUAUCAAACUACAAGAGAUGCACAAGGAAAUGAUAUAUUGCUACUGUCCCUAGCCCAUUGAUUAUUAUAUCAUCUUUAUGCACACCCAUUUUCCCUUUUAUGAACCCACCUCUCACAAUUGAUCCGCCACGUCAUGGAAUUAAAAAGUUUAAAAAUUCCUUGGUCACAAAAAGAAUGUCUCACAAAUAAAGUUUAAACUUGUCUAACUUUUGGUUUUAUUGCAGUCCUAUUCUGCCAAAAUACCAAACUUUGGCUUGGCGAGGUGGGGUCCAUCAGCUAGUCAAUCACAUGUGACAACACGAGUAAUGGGCACAUAUGGUUAUGUAGCUCCAGAGUAUUUAGCCACAAGUAUUAUUUCUGCCAAAACUUUUGGACUUUUGGUGCUCUUAAGGCCAAAUGAGGGUGAGGCUUAA